GGCCGAUAGGCGUAGGCGAUGGACAAUCGGUUGAUAUUCCGAUACCACUACAAUCGUUAUUAUCGAUGGUGUGACGGAGAAGGAUAGGAUGUGCUAGCGAUUGGAAAUGCUAGUCUAAGCGUUUAGGGAGUUGAAACAGGCAAAUCCGUUUCAACAAUUCUGAGGCGUGAUGGGGAAGGCCAAAAGGCUGAAGUAUCUGAUUCCAUGCUUCCAAGAAAAGCAUCUAGAGAGAGAAGUAGUGCCCGUACCGCAAACCGACACAGGUAGAUGAGGAGAGAAUCCUAAGACCAGCGGAAGAAUUGCAGUUAAGGAACUAGGCAAAUUGACCCCGUAAGUUAGCGAGAAGGGGUGCCUACGAGAGUAGGCCGCAGAGAAUAGGCCCAAGCAACUGUUUAGCAAAAACACAGGUCUCUGCUAAAGCGCAAGCUGAUGUAUAGGGGCUGACGCCUGCCCGGUGCUGGAAGGUUAAGGGGAACACUUAGCGCAAGCGAAGGUGUGAACUUAAGCCCCAGUAAACGGCGGCCGUAACUAUAACGGUCCUAAGGUAGCGAAAUUCCUUGUCGGGUAAGUUCCGACCCGCACGAAAGGCGUAACGAUUUGGGCACUGUCUCAACAACAGACUCGGUGAAAUUGUAAUCCCGGUGAAGAUGCCGGGUACCUGCGAUAGGACGGAAAGACCCCAUGGAGCUUUACUGUAGCUUGACAUUGAAUUUUGGUGCUACAUGUACAGGAUAGGUGGGAGGCUAUGAAGUCGGGACGCCAGUCUCGGCGGAGCCAUCCUUGGGAUACCACCCUUGUAGUACUGAGAUUCUAACCAGAUACCUUGAAUCUCCUCGAAAUAGCUUUAGGGCUAGCGUCGGAUAUGAGUAAUGGAGGUAGAGCACUGAAUGGGCUAGGGGGCGUAUCGCUUACCGAACCUUAUCAAACUCCGAAUGCCAUAUACUAUUAGUCCGGCAGUCAGACUACGAAUGAUAAGAUCCGUGGUCAAAAGGGAAAAAGCCCAGAUCGUCAGCUAAGGUCCCAAAGUGUAAGUUAAGUGGAAAAGGAUGUGGGAUUUCUAAGACAACUAGGAUGUUGGCUUAGAAGCAGCCACUCAUUGAAAGAGUGCGUAAUAGCUCACUAGUCGAGAGAUCCUGCGCCGAAAAUGUCCGGGGCUCAAACUUACCACCGAAGCUACGGGCUCAUCGUAAGAUGAGCGGUAGAGGAGCGUCGUAAUCGGGCUGAAGUCGUACCGUAAGGAGCGGUGGACUGAUUACGAGUGAGAAUGUUGGCAUUAGUAGCGAGAUGUGAGUGAGAAUCUCACAGGUCGAAAAUCUAAGGUUUCCUGGGGAAGGCUCGUCCGCCCAGGGUUAGUCGGGACCUAAGCCGAGGCCGAUAGGCGUAGGCGAUGGACAAUCGGUUGAUAUUCCGAUACCACUACAAUCGUUAUUAUCGAUGGUGUGACGGAGAAGGAUAGGAUGUGCUAGCGAUUGGAAAUGCUAGUCUAAGCGUUUAGGGAGUUGAAACAGGCAAAUCCGUUUCAACAAUUCUGAGGCGUGAUGGGGAAGGCCAAAAGGCUGAAGUAUCUGAUUCCAUGCUUCCAAGAAAAGCAUCUAGAGAGAGAAGUAGUGCCCGUACCGCAAACCGACACAGGUAGAUGAGGAGAGAAUCCUAAGACCAGCGGAAGAAUUGCAGUUAAGGAACUAGGCAAAUUGACCCCGUAAGUUAGCGAGAAGGGGUGCCUACGAGAGUAGGCCGCAGAGAAUAGGCCCAAGCAACUGUUUAGCAAAAACACAGGUCUCUGCUAAAGCGCAAGCUGAUGUAUAGGGGCUGACGCCUGCCCGGUGCUGGAAGGUUAAGGGGAACACUUAGCGCAAGCGAAGGUGUGAACUUAAGCCCCAGUAAACGGCGGCCGUAACUAUAACGGUCCUAAGGUAGCGAAAUUCCUUGUCAGGUAAGUUCUGACCCGCACGAAUGGCGUAAUGACUUGGGCACUGUCUCAACUGCAAAUCCGGCGAAGUUGUAGUGCGAGUGAAGAUGCUCGCUACCCGCGAUUGGACGGAAAGACCCCGUAGAGCUUUACUGUAGCUUAGCAUUGAAUUCCGAUAUUGUCUGUACAGGAUAGGUGGGAGACUGGGAAACUAGGGCGUCAGCCUUGGUGGAGUCAUCCUUGGGAUACCACCCUGACAGUAUUGGGGUUCUAACCGGACGCCAUGAAUCUGGUGACGGGACAUUGUUAGGUGGGCAGUUUGACUGGGGCGGUCGCCUCCUAAAAAGUAACGGAGGCGCCCAAAGGUUCCCUCAGAACGGUCGGAAAUCGUUCGAAGAGUGCAAAGGCAGAAGGGAGCCUGACUGCGACACCCACAAGUGGAGCAGGGACGAAAGUCGGGCUUAGUGAUCCGGUGGUACCUCGUGGGAGGGCCAUCGCUCAACGGAUAAAAGCUACCUCGGGGAUAACAGGCUGAUCUCCCCCAAGAGUCCACAUCGACGGGGAGGUUUGGCACCUCGAUGUCGGCUCGUCGCAUCCUGGGGCUGUAGUAGGUCCCAAGGGUUGGGCUGUUCGCCCAUUAAAGCGGCACGCGAGCUGGGUUCAGAACGUCGUGAGACAGUUCGGUCCCUAUCCGUCGCGGGCGUAGGAAAUUUGAGAGGAGCUGUCCUUAGUACGAGAGGACCGGGAUGGACUGACCUCUGGUGCACCAGUUGUUCUGCCAAGAGCAUGGCUGGGUAGCUAAGUCGGGAAGGGAUAAACGCUGAAAGCAUCUAAGCGUGAAGCCCCCCUCAAGAUGAGAUUUCCCAUAGCAUAAGCUAGUAAGACCCCUUGAAGAACACAAGGUUGAUAGGUCAGAGGUGUAAGUGUGGUAACAUAUUUAGCUGACUGAUACUAAUAGGUCGAGGGCUUGACCAA
rnacentral:rRNA from 1 species